AGGGUUCCCAUUGCCAGCGGCGCAGCCAGACUAGGGGCUGCCCUCCGCCUUCUCGCCAUGGACGCGGACGACUCCCGGGCCCCCAAGGGCUCCUUGCGGAAGUUCCUGGAGCACCUCUUCGGGGCCCGCAAGGCCAUCGGCGUGCUGACCAGCGGCGGGGAUGCUCAAGAACCCAAGGAUUGAGAACAAUGGACUUUUUGAUGUGUGUUGCAACAAACUCAUAGCCGAGGGCUGUAAAUCGGAGGGAUCACCAGGUCUGCCUACCAGCCACCAGGCAAGUGGGGAGAAGCUGUCACCCCAACUUGAGUUUCAAGAAGACUCCUUGGAAGAAAAGACCACCAAAUUGAGAAUGAAAAGAUCAUACACGGGGGUCGUCAGACAUGGUCUGAGACCUGCUGGGAAGAACAGCAGCCUGGCGCUGCUACCCUCUGGCUUCUGUUCACAGCACUGACCCCAGCUAAUCCAAGAACAUGUCACCUAUAAUGCGAAUAUUGAAGAAAAAUCAACCAUCUUCCAGAUGUGUCUAUAUCAUGAUACGGUACAUGGGUAAGAAACUAACUGAAUUCCAGUGGGUGUGCCUGGCAAACCCAAACACGGUUUUCCGUUCAGGAUGCUGGUCUUACCUGUGAAGGCGUUCAUGAAGGUGGAGAGGGACUGGUUCAACAUUUUGAAGAAAGGGUCUCUGCACGGAUACUUCCGAGACCCACAAAGGAUGGUAUGCUCAAGAAUGUGAGGAACACCGGUACUGUCCAUGGGAGUGGUCCGGAACUGCACGCUAGGGAAGAAGGAACGGCACGCCAGGGAAGGGAGAGGAACAGAACGCUAGGGAAGGAGAAUGGCUAGAAUACAAAAUGUUCAUCUUUGUGCUGCGGACACAGUUCCCAGAUGCAUCAUCACCUCAGGCUACUAGAAAUCAUCAUUCUGACACCAUAAUCCUCCAACACGGGGUUUCCCAACUCUAAUGUAAAUCAUUAAUUCAGACUAUAAAAUUGUAUUUUGAUGAGAUUGUAAGUCCGUGUAAGCUUUUCCUUAUUUUUCAAGAUGCUCUGUCAAUAAAAAUACUAGUGAGAUGAUAUUUAAACCACAUAACAUACAGUCAGUGCUUUAAACCAAGCUUGUCUAACCCACAACCUGCAGUCCGCAUGCUCAGGAUGACUUGGAAUGCAUCCCAACACAAUCCCUACACUUUCUUAAAACAUUUAGGUCCUCUAUUUUUUUUUAAGCUCAUCAACUGUCCUUAGUGUUAGUGUAUUUUGUGUGUGGCCUGAGACAGUUGUUCUUCUAAUGUGGCACAGGGAAGCCAAAAGAUUGGACAUCCCCGAUUUAAAUAAAACGUUCAAGACCAUGUUCUUACAAUGCACCACGUACCUGAACAGAUUAUUCGUGUCUUCUCUGGCCAGGUGUAAAUACCUGGCUCCUCUGUCAUCGUGGCUGAGCUUCAUGACCGUCAGGAACAGCUCGGGAACAGAUGUCACUUGAGUUAACCAGAAAAACACGAGUAGUUAAACGUAGACAAAAUAGCCUGUGAAAUGGUGAUCUUCGACACACUGAGAAAGCUGGCUUUUCUGCCUGAAAUUAGGUGAUACCGGGAAGCCAGUAUUUCAGAGCUGGAGAGAACAGAACUGUCCUGUCCAAGUCCCUUAUCCUACAAACAAGGAAAGUAAGACCUAAAGAAGGCAAAUGCGAAUGUGUGCGUAUUUAUGUAUAUUUUUGAGUGCUUAUUACUGGCUAGGUAUUUUUCAUUUUUUUAUUUUUAAAUUUUUUAUUCUGUUUUGGCUAGGCAUUUUCUAAUCAUGUCACAUAGAAUCCUGUGAGGGAGGUAUUCUCAUCCUCAUUUACAGAUGAAAAAACUGAGGCUCAGGGUGAUGAAACAAGCUGCCCGAAUCAGAGCCAGGAUUCACCCUGGUGUCUGCCCUUCCCACGGUACUGUGCUGCACCUAAAUAACACAGCACCCUUUCCAACGCCUGCUGAGUGCCUCCUGCUUUUGUGUACUGCACCUCAGUAACACAGCACCCCUUCCAACAUCGGCUGUGUGUCUCCUGUUUCUGUGCAUAUAAUCUCCUGUAGUGCGAAGCACAGGCCUGCAGGAGGGGCAAUGCUGGAGUGGGCUAGUCGGCGACAGUGGGGAGAGGGUCCGGGAUCAGUCUUUGCUUCCCCUAGUUUGGGAUGGAUUCUCGAUGGUAGCUGUAAGCACAAAGCUGGGGCUUCCAGAACAGCUGGAGGGGCUGGGAGGAUAGAAAUGCCCCCCAAAAAGAUGAAAGGCUCCCCACUCCUGGGGCAGGGUGGAAGGUCUUCUCCUACCUUAGGCAAGCCUCCUGGUAAGUGUCCAUACUCCUCGAUAUGAAAGAAACUGUCUUCUCUUCCAGUCAUGCCAGCCGACCCAGCCUCUCCCUCAAUCACAUACCACGUCCCUGUGAUCACCACAUCACUUGCCACCCCCUCUGUCCACGUGCCAUGAGUCACCUGGCCAAGCGCACACAGCAAGUCGCUGGCAGAGGUGAGACCUCGGGUCUCCUCAGCCCAAUCUAGGGAGCCUGCCAUCCAACAGUCAUGCAUAAAGCGGCCCACUACGACCUGCAUCAUCUACCGCUGUUAAAUUACUUGUUUCCAAGCUUACCGUACUUUGUAUCAGAUGAUCAAUGCAUUUAAAAUCAGCAGAUACAGUGAGAUGUCUGCUUUCUAAUAAUAUAUAGCUUUAAUAAUAAUAGCGUUCAUGGUAGCUAUUUCUCAAACAAGAAACAUGACUUAUCGUAAGUUUCUAUGGCU
ensembl:lncRNA